rnacentral:rRNA from 1 species
UUGUUCUCUGAGUGUCAUUCCUAAGACCAGAGUUUCCCCGGUGGAGGGUCAUUUGAGUCUGGUGAACGCGCAUAAAGAAGAGAAAACUCCAACUCUACGCGCAGCUCUGAUAUGGGUAGGGAUGUCCAGGAAUAUCAAUGGCGAAGGUGGCUUCGGGUCUGUAACUGACGCUGAGGUGCGAAAGCGAACGGAGCAAAUUGGAUUAGAUAUCCUUGGUAGUCCAUACGCUAAACAAUGAGUGAUAAGUGUUAGAGCGUUUCUGUCUUUCAGUGCUGCAGCUAACGCAUUAAGCACUCCGCCUGGGGAGUACGGUCGCAAGACUGAAACUCAAAGGAAUUGACGGGGGCCCGCACAAGCGGCGGAGCAUGUGGUUUAAUUCGAAGCAACGCGAAGAACCUUACCAGGUCUUGACAUCCUCUGACAACUCUAGAGAUAGAGCGUUCCCCUUCGGGGGACAGAGUGACAGGUGGUGCAUGGUUGUCGUCAGCUCGUGUCGUGAGAUGUUGGGUUAAGUCCCGCAACGAGCGCAACCCUUGAUCUUAGUUGCCAGCAUUUAGUUGGGCACUCUAAGGUGACUGCCGGUGACAAACCGGAGGAAGGUGGGGAUGACGUCAAAUCAUCAUGCCCCUUAUGACCUGGGCUACACACGUGCUACAAUGGAUGGUACAAAGGGCUGCAAGACCGCGAGGUCAAGCCAAUCCCAUAAAACCAUUCUCAGUUCGGAUUGUAGGCUGCAACUCGCCUACAUGAAGCUGGAAUCGCUAGUAAUCGCGGAUCAGCAUGCCGCGGUGAAUACGUUCCCGGGCCUUGUACACACCGCCCGUCACACCACGAGAGUUUGUAACACCCGAAGUCGGGUGGAGUAACCGUAG